GACAGAGGAUGCAAGCGUUAUCCGGAAUGAUUGGGCGUAAAGCGUCUGUAGGUGGCUUUUUAAGUCCGCCGUCAAAUCCCAGGGCUCAACCCUGGACAGGCGGUGGAAACUACCAAGCUGGAGUACGGUAGGGGCAGAGGGAAUUUCCGGUGGAGCGGUGAAAUGCGUAGAUAUCGGGAGGAACAUCAGUGGCGAAGGCGACCACCUGGCCCAACACUGACGCUGAGGUGCGAAAGCGUGGGUAGCAAACAGG
rnacentral:rRNA from 1 species